UACGAAGGGGGCUAGCGUUGCUCGGAAUUACUGGGCGUAAAGAGCGCGCAGGCGGCUGGUCAAGUCCGAUGUGAAAGCUCCCGGCUUAACUGGGAAACGGCAUCGGAAACUGAUCGGCUUGAAGGUGGGAGAGGGUAGUGGAAUUCCCGGUGUAGUGGUGAAAUGCGUAGAUAUCGGGAGGAACACCAGUGGCGAAGGCGACUACCUGGCCCACUCUUGACGCUGAGGCGCGAAAGCUAGGGGAGCAAACGGG
rnacentral:rRNA from 1 species